UCUCUCUCUCUCUCUCUCUCUCUCUCUCUCUCUCUCUCGGGGGAGAGAGAGAGAGAGAGAGAGAGAGAGAGAGAGAGA
rnacentral:miRNA from 1 species